UAGAAAAACUAUUUUAAAAUGAAUUUUUUUUAAAUUUUUAUUAAUAAUUCAUUUUCAGUAAUAACUGCACAUACACUCACACACACGCACACGCGCGCGGUGGUUCAAGGAGAUGGGCCGUCAGAUGACCCUGUCGUUAGUGGACCAACUGAUUGUGAGACAGGUCCACCCCCUUGUAUCUCCCACGCGUGCGCGCGUGCGUAUGUGUACUUGUUUCGCUCUCGAGACGAAAGAGAGUGGGAUGGACCUUGCUUUGUGGCCAUUUACUACAAUAUAUUUCGAAAACUGCACGAGACCGCCGAUUAAUUUAUAAGGAAAAGUUUUUCAGUAUUUAUGCCUCUAUACAUAUGUAAAGGUCAAGAUCAUAAAGGGUUCAACAUCGGCAAAAAAAGAAUAUCAGUAUCCAAAAUACCUUGUUGCAAAUGAUGAACCGGAUAUAAGAGUAAUAGACAGCACGACGUGUACCAGAAAUUAAUCAAGAUUUAAUGUUCUGACAAUGUUCUUGGGCCAAUUUAAGAAGUGAUGCUGAAAUACUGUGUUAAUCAUUCGAUCGGUAUUCGCUGAACAUGCUUCUACGUCGCACACGUUGAGUAAAAUCCGACCGCGACACCGAUAAAUGUGACUCAAUGGUAACCACGUGACUAGGUUACGCUUCAGUGAAGGAUCUCCGUGCAACAUCAUGAGAGACCUCAGGUGUGUAUUGUAUUAAUUACC